GACGAACGCUGGCGGCGUGCUUAACACAUGCAAGUCGAACGAAGAGCGAUGGAAGCUUGCUUCUAUCAAUCUUAGUGGCGAACGGGUGAGUAACGCGUAAUCAACCUGCCCUUCAGAGGGGGACAACAGGUGGAAACGACUGCUAAUACCGCAUACGAUCUAAACUCGGCAUCGAGGAUAGAUGAAAGGUGGCCUCUACAUGUAAGCUAUCACUGAAGGAGGGGAUUGCGUCUGAUUAGCUAGUUGGAGGGGUAACGGCCCAACAAGGCGAUGAUCAGUAGCCGGUCUGAGAGGAUGAACGGCCACAUUGGGACUGAGACACGGCCCAGACUCCUACGGGAGGGAGCAGUGGGGAAUCUUCCGCAAUGGACGAAAGUCUGACGGAGCAACGCCGCGUGAGUGAUGACGGCCUUCGGGUUGUAAAGCUCUGUUAAUCGGGACGAAAGGCCUUCUUGCGAAUAGUGAGAAGGAUUGACGGUACCGGAAUAGAAAGCCACGGCUAACUACGUG
rnacentral:rRNA from 1 species